rnacentral:rRNA from 1 species
AACGCGAAGAACCUUACCUGGGCUCGAAAUGGAGUGGACCGGGGUGGAAACAUCCCUUCCCCGCAAGGGGCGUGCUCUAUAGGUGCUGCAUGGCUGUCGUCAGCUCGUGUCGUGAGAUGUUGGGUUAAGUCCCGCAACGAGCGCAACCCUUAUUACCAGUUGCCAUCAUUCAGUUGGGCACUCCGGUGAGACCGCCUCGGAUAACGGGGAGGAAGGCGGGGAUGACGUCAAGUCCUCAUGGCCUUUAUGUCCAGGGCUACACACGUGCUACAAUGGCCGGUACAAACCGCUGCAACCCCGCCGAGGGUGAGCUAAUCGGAAAAAGCCGGCCUCAGUUCGGAUUGGAGUCUGCAACUCGACUCCAUGAAGCUGGAAUCGCUAGUAAUCGUGGAUCAGCAUGCCACGGUGAAUACGUUCCCGGGCCUUGUACACACCGCGCAUA